CUUCCUGCUCACGUUCCUUCGUGUGUUUGACAUUCCCUGUAUGUUCUGAGUCAUGCAGGUUCUCGGCUGGAGCCGAGAGACCUGGGCUGCAGACGCAGCUCUCUGCCAACUUGCUGUGUGCCUUUGGGCAAGCCCUCACCCUCUCUGGGCCUCUGUGUUCCUCCUUUACAGUGUCAGUUGACGACACAAGAUGCUCGCUGGGGUGGUCCUGGUGCCACUCUCUGGAAUUCUGGCAGUUCACGGGAAAGAGAAACCUGAGUGUGCGGAAAAGGCCUGCGUCAGUCAGUGUUCUCCAGGCCAACAGAAUCAAUAGCAGUUACGUGUGCGCAUUACGUGUCCCUGCGAGAGGGAGCUGAGAGUGCUGUCAACUGUAGGACUGAGAGAGGGGAGAGGGGCUCCCGGGGCUCACCCUGGCACACUCCCCUCCUGGCUGUUGCUACACAAGGCCCGGAUUAUGUGGUGCUCACAUUGAGUGAGGAAACUUCAAAACAAAUCAUCCCAUCAGUGGUUUUUGAGGCAAGGGGCAGCUCCCUGAAGGGUGUGAACACAGGGUCCCAGCCUGGGUCUCGCUCCUAUGCUCCUCUCCAGGCCCUAGCAAGCUGCUCCCCGGCGCAGGGAGGACUGGGAAGAGGCACUGGGGCUCCGCCUGGAGAAGGCAGGCCCGGGGGCCUCUCGGCUGGGACACGCUGGGCCCCCCCUGCCUGGCACCCGGGGUCCUGCACCCUGCCAGGGAGGCCAACCUGAUCCUGGGUCUGCAUGCGAGGCCCUGCCAGCUGGCUCCACCACCUCCACCCAUCUGCCUCCUGCCCUCAGAAGCCGUGGUGUGGUCUCCGGGAUCAGGUGAUUGUGGAAAAACAGAGGACCAAAGCCCAGGGGAGGCUGUGGGGCGGGGCUGGCAGCAGGUCAUGUACCUGGUGUGAGAGGUUGUGCGUCCUUGGAGGGUGCUCUGGAAUCAGUUGUCUAUACUGGAGGAGGAAGGAGUGUCCAUGAGGAACUUUCUGGAGUCUGACGGCCCAGAACUGCAGGUGCGGAGGAGACAGAGUUUGUGUGGGCACAUGUGCGUGUGUGCAUGUCUGUGCACACGUGUGUCUUUGUGCAUAUGUGUCUCUGUGUACGUGUGUCUCUGUGUGUGCAUGUCUGUGUGUGCGUGUGUCUGUAGGCGUGUGUCUGCAUGUGGGCAUGUGUGUCUGGGUGCAUGUAUGUGCGUGUGUGUCUCUGUGUGUAAGAUAUGUGGAAAGUACGCACAUGAUUCCAAGACCCCG
rnacentral:lncRNA from 1 species